GACGAACGCUGGCGGCGUGCCUAAUACAUGCAAGUCGAGCGAAGUUUUUCUGGUGCUUGCACUAGAAAAACUUAGCGGCGAACGGGUGAGUAACACGUAAAGAACCUGCCUCAUAGACUGGGACAACUAUUGGAAACGAUAGCUAAUACCGGAUAACAGUAUUUCUCGCAUGAGAGAUAUUUAAAAGUUGGUUAUGCCAACACUAUGAGAUGGCUUUGCGGUGCAUUAGCUAGUUGGUGGGGUAAAGGCCCACCAAGGCGACGAUGCAUAGCCGACCUGAGAGGGUGAUCGGCCACACUGGGGCUGAGACACGGCCCAGACUCCUACGGGAGGCAGCAGUAGGGAAUCUUCCGCAAUGGGCGAAAGCCUGACGGAGCAACGCCGCGUGAGUGAAGAAGGAUUUCGGUUCGUAAAGCUCUGUUGUUAGGGAAGGAUGGAUAUGUAGUAACUAUACAUGUAAGAGACGGUACCUAACCAGAAAGCCACGGCUAACUACGUG
rnacentral:rRNA from 1 species